CAAGCAGGUCUGCAAUUGCAGCACUCGGUUUCAGUAGAGUGCUGUCAUUAACCCUGCUGAGAGCAUGUUUUGGCUUGAGAGCUCAAACUCCU
rnacentral:snoRNA from 1 species